UACGUAGGGUGCAAGCGUUAAUCGGAAUUACUGGGCGUAAAGCGUGCGCAGGCGGUGAUUGUAAGACAGUUGUGAAAUCCCCGGGCUCAACCUGGGAACUGCAUCUGUGACUGCAUCGCUGGAGUGCGGCAGAGGGGGGAUGGAAUUCCGGCGUGUAGCAGUGAAAUGCGUAGAUAUGCGGAGGAACACCGAUGGCGAAGGCAAUCCCCUGGGCCUGCACUGACGCUCAUGCACGAAAGCGUGGGGAGCAAACAGG
rnacentral:rRNA from 1 species